GAAUCAGUACGCUGGUCGUGCCUUCGGUAUGUACUGGUGUCACUGGUUUCUCCCUUCUGAAGAACCAUCAUGCCAUUCACUUGGUGUGGUGGGAAAUCAGGACUGUUACUUUGAAAAAAUUGGAGUGUUUAAAGCAGGCUUUCAAGCUUGAACAUAUUAGCAUGGAAUAAUGAAAUAGGA
rnacentral:rRNA from 1 species